rnacentral:rRNA from 1 species
GACGAACGCUGGCGGCGUGCCUAAUACAUGCAAGUAGAACGCUGAAGGAGGAGCUUGCUUCUCUGGAUGAGUUGCGAACGGGUGAGUAACGCGUAGGUAACCUGCCUGGUAGCGGGGGAUAACUAUUGGAAACGAUAGCUAAUACCGCAUAAUAGCAGUUGUUGCAUGACAACUGUUUGAAAGGUGCAAUUGCACCACUACCAGAUGGACCUGCGUUGUAUUAGCUAGUUGGUGGGGUAACGGCUCACCAAGGCGACGAUACAUAGCCGACCUGGGAGGGGGAUCGGCCACACUGGGACUGAGACACGGCCCAGACUCCUACGGGAGGCAGCAGUAGGGAAUCUUCGGCAAUGGACGGAAGUCUGACCGAGCAACGCCGCGUGAGUGAAGAAGGUUUUCGGAUCGUAAAGCUCUGUUGUAAGAGAAGAACGAGUGUGAGAGUGGAAAGUUCACACUGUGACGGUAUCUUACCAGAAAGGGACGGCUAACUACGUG